AUCCAGCUGACGAGUCCCAAGUAAGACGAAACGCGCGUCCUGGAU
rfam:Schistosoma mansoni strain Puerto Rico chromosome 6, complete genome